rnacentral:rRNA from 1 species
GACGAACGCUGGCGGCGUGCCUAAUACAUGCAAGUAGAACGCUGAAGAGAGGAGCUUGCUCUUCUUGGAAGAGUUGCGAACGGGUGAGUAACGCGUAGGUAACCUGCCUUGUAGCGGGGGAUAACUAUUGGAAACGAUAGCUAAUACCGCAUAACAAUGGGUGACCCAUGUCAUUCAUAUGAAAGGGGCAAAUGCUCCACUACAAGAUGGACCUGCGUUGUAUUAGCUAGUAGGUGAGGUAACGGCUCACCUAGGCGACGAUACAUAGCCGACCUGAGAGGGUGAUCGGCCACACUGGGACUGAGACACGGCCCAGACUCCUACGGGAGGCAGCAGUAGGGAAUCUUCGGCAAUGGGGGCAACCCUGACCGAGCAACGCCGCGUGAGUGAAGAAGGUUUUCGGAUCGUAAAGCUCUGUUGUAAGUCAAGAACGAGUGUGAGAGUGGAAAGUCACACUGUGACGGUAGC